rnacentral:rRNA from 1 species
GAUGAACGCUGGCGGCGUGCCUAAUACAUGCAAGUCGAGCGAACAGACGAGGAGCUUGCUCCUCUGACGUUAGCGGCGGACGGGUGAGUAACACGUGGAUAACCUACCUAUAAGACUGGGAUAACUUCGGGAAACCGGAGCUAAUACCGGAUAAUAUAUUGAACCGCAUGGUUCAAUAGUGAAAGACGGUUUUGCUGUCACUUAUAGAUGGAUCCGCGCCGCAUUAGCUAGUUGGUAAGGUAACGGCUUACCAAGGCAAGGAUGCGUAGCCGAACGGAGAGGGUGAUCGGCCACACGGGAACUGAGACACGGUCCAGAGUCCUACGGGAGGCAGCAGUAGGGAAUCUUCCGCAGAGGGCGAAAGCCUGACGGAGCAACGCCGCGUGAGUGAUGAAGGUCUUCGGAUCGUAAAACUCUGUUAUUAGGGAAGAACAAAUGUGUAAGUAACUAUGCACGUCUUGACGGUACCUAAUCAGAAAGCCACGGCUAACUACGUG